rnacentral:rRNA from 1 species
CAGCCGCCACGGGAAUACGUAGGUGGCAAGCGUUGUCCGGAAUUAUUGGGCGUAAAGGGCUCGCAGGCGGUUUCUUAAGUCUGAUGUGAAAGCCCCCGGCUCAACCGGGGAGGGUCAUUGGAAACUGGGAAACUUGGGUGCAGAAGAGGAGAGUGGAAUUCCACGUGUAGCGGUGAAAUGCGUAGAGAUGUGGAGGAACACCAGUGGCGAAGGCGACUCUCUGGUCUGUAACUGACGCUGAGGAGCGAAAGCGUGGGGAGCGAACAGGAUUAGAUACCCCCGUAGUCCCUGUCUCUUAUAC